rnacentral:lncRNA from 1 species
AAGUGACCAGGCGGUGGCGGCUCUGCCGAGGUGACAAUGUGCUAGGAGCCCCGCUCCGUGUCUCCUGCGCCUCCUUGGCCUGGGCGCCUCCUGGCAGCGCUCUCGGAGCCUCGCGGCCGCUUGCCGCGCUAUGAGGGAGCAUCUCCGGGGCUGGCCGAGGCCCGGGCCGCCUCGCUCUGCUCGCCGAGAAGUGUGAAGAGAGGCGCGGGCGGGAGCCGGGGCUGCGCGCGGCGGCGGCUCCAGGUGAGCGCGGCUCUCGGCGCAGCCGGCCACUGGUCGGGCUGGAUCCAGGCAGCAUCCCGUGCGCGGACCGCCGAGCUCUCUCCGCGGGAUCGACAGCCACCGUAGCAGGUCUCAGUCUUUCUUCUCUCUCUUCUCUUCUUGGUGACGGUUUGGGACGGACCCCUUUCGGACCGCAGGAGAGUCCGGCUGGGCGCCGCAAAGUCCCGCCGGUGAGUGGCAGGGCGCAGAAGCCCAGCAGGGUAGGGGCACGGGUGCCGGUGGAUCUGGAGAGUCUGUCUCUGGGGACCCGGGAGCUCGGCAGCCCGAGGCUGCAGGCGCGGCGGAAGGAUGGAGAGGCGCAGAACUUUCUGCAGCCGCCCGCCCGCCCGCCCGCCCUCCUCUAGGCUUUUCCCGCUACCCUCUGAGCUGGGAUGCGCAGGUCCCUAUCCACGCCCUGGGGGCGCUCUCCGGUGCCUUAAGUGCCUUAGCGUCCCUUCCUAGGCAACUUUCUGUAUCAGCAGCGGGCACCCCUGUGUGCGAUGCUGAUGCUGCGGGUGCUACUACUCUUGACACCGGGCAUGCUCUGGUUCUUGGAUAUUUUCCUCGACAGCUUGCUCUUUCUGUUAGUGCCCCAGCCGCCCAGAGUCACAUUCUCCUCUUGUAUGCCUCUGUCACUGACUCAGUUUGUAGGUCUGAUUUUCUUUCAGGCUUUUGGUUCCAGUGCAUAUGCACCAUCCUUGCGUCUGUUUCUCUUUCAUUCUAUUUGCUCCGGUCUUUCUUGAGCUGUCAUAGAAUCGCUGAUGUACUGUUUCUUUCGUUUGUCUCUCGUGCAGUGUUUCUCUCUUUCUGUGUUUAAGCCCCUCGUUGCCUGUCUCUUCCCCUGCUCCCAGUUUGCUAAUCCAUAGAUGCUCUUGUUCUGGGAACUCCCAGAUGCACAGACCUCCUUAUUUUGCGCCUUUGGGCAGGCGGGAGCGAAGCAGCUUUCCUGCAUCUGGGCUGCCUUGGAGCUGAAUGAGAGGUUCAGGGGCUGGAACGGAGGGUGUCGCUCCAGCCUUCCCACCCAAGGUCCAAGGGCACGGCGCCAUGGGAACCCAGUCCGCGGAGGCUUCUGGACUGACCAGCAAAAGCAGUGUGAGAGAGUGAGAGCCCCUCACCUGCCCUGUGCCUUGGACUGUGGUUAGCUGAAUUUCCAGGUGGAGAGUCUUCAUUUGCAGCUUUCCAGAUAGCUAGGGGAGACUAUUCCAUGGAUGGGCAAAUAGAAUCUUAGGGAUUAAGGCCAGGCAAAUGUCAAAAGGUGGAUGCUUGCAUGAGGUAAAUGCAUUGCUAAUGAGAAAGGAGCUCUGCCUCAACCAUUUCACACUCAGCCUUUAGGAGAGCAGUGUCCCCUGGAGAUACACCAGCCUCUCUCACCAGAGUAGCUUACAGGUUUAUUUGCAGGAUUAAGGGUACUUGACCACCCCUAUGGCAUUUUUUGUGGCCUUGGGGGGGGGGUCCCCAGCUUUUGGCAAAAUUUGUUGCUCAAAAUUAAUCAGCCUCUCUCUCUCUCUCUCUCUCUCUCUCUCUCUCUCUCACGCACGCACACACACACACACGCACACACACGCACACACUGCUUAUGUUGUUGUUGUUGUUCAUGCCCUCUAGUGUUAAAGAAACCUGCUGGUCUGAGAAUUUUGAAAAGUAAGCUCACACUACUGGUCUUCACUUUUGGGCUUCUCUCCUCCAAGGGUCUCGCUUCCUUUGUCAUACACAUUCUUUCCUUUUCCUCAUUGACUUUUGCGACUGCACUCCUAAUCUAUUCUUUCUUGAUCUGCAGUCUUCCUCUGCUGCAGAAUUAGAUUGGUAAUAUUGAAACCCUCUCCCUUUGACUUCAGAGAUAGAUGGAUCUGGAGAAUGUCCAUUGCCCAAGGCAGGUUUUGAAGGUUUAAGAAAGGUGCAUUUUUUUUCCACGUUCGUCACAAACCAGGAUUUCUCAACUCCUUUUUUUAUUCCCUUGAUUACCUUCAACUCCAUUGAGAAUUUGGAUGGCUGCUCUUGCAUGAUUAAACAAAGGCUUUAAAUUAUUUUCUUUGUUGCCCAUCCUAUUUCAGGAUGUAAGGUACAUGUGAAUAAGGGGCACUUUGUAUCAGACCAGGCUUAC